rnacentral:rRNA from 1 species
UGCCAGACUCCUACGGGAGGCAGCAGUGGGGGAUAUUGGACAAUGGGGGAAACCCUGAUCCAGCGACGCCGCGUGAGUGAAGAAGUAUUUCGGUAUGUAAAGCUCUGUCAGCAGGGAAGAAAGAAAUGACGGUACCUGACCAAGAAGCCCCGGCUAACUACGUGCCAGCAGCCGCGGUAAUACGUAGGGGGCAAGCGUUAUCCGGAUUUACUGGGUGUAAGGGAGCGUAGGCGGUGCAGCAAGUCAGAAGUGAAAGCCCGGGGCUCAACUCCGGGACUGCUUUUGAAACUGUUGAACUAGAUUGCAGGAGAGGUAAGUGGAAUUCCUAGUGUAGCGGUGAAAUGCGUAGAUAUCAGGAGGAACACCGGCGGCGAAGGCGGCCUGCUGGACCGUGACUGACGUUGAGGCUCGAGAGCGUGGGGAGCAAACAGGAUUAGAUACCCUUGUA